UACGUAGGGUGCAAGCGUUAAUCGGAAUUACUGGGCGUAAAGCGUGCGCAGGCGGUGAUGUAAGACAGUUGUGAAAUCCCCGGGCUCAACCUGGGAACUGCAUCUGUGACUGCAUCGCUGGAGUGCGGCAGAGGGGGAUGGAAUUCCGCAUGUAGCAGUGAAAUGCGUAGAGAUGCGGAGGAACACCGAUGGCGAAGGCAGCCCCCUGGGCCAAUACUGACGCUCAGGCACGAAAGCGUGGGGAGCAAACAGG
rnacentral:rRNA from 1 species